AGAGUUUGAUCCUGGCUCAGGGCGAACGCAAGCGGUGUGCUUAACACAUGCAAGUCGAACGAGAACGCCACUUCGGUGGCAAGUACAGUGGCGAACGGGUGAGUAACACGUGGGUAACGUACCUUCGGGACGGGGGAUAACAAUUCGAAAGGAUUGCUAAUACCGCGUACGAUCAGCGGGGUUUUGGCCCUGCUGAUGAUAGGCUUCGGCCGACCGAAGAUCGGCCCGCGGCCCAUUAGCUUGUUGGUAGGGUAAUGGCUUACCAAGGCUUCGAUGGGUAGCUGGUCUGAGAGGACGAUCAGCCACACUGGGACUGAGACACGGCCCAGACUCCUACGGGAGGCAGCAGUGGGGAAUCUUGCGCAAUGGGGGAAACCCUGACGCAGCAUCACCGCGUGAGUGACGAAGGCCUUCGGGUCGUAAAGCUCUGUCGGGAGGGAAGAAGGUCAGCUUCGGCUGGCUUGACGGUACCUCGCAAGAAAGCACCGGCUAACUCCGUGCCAGCAGCCGCGGUAAUACGGAGGGUGCAAGCGUUGCUCGGAAUUAUUGGGCGUAAAGCGCGUGUAGGCGGCCUUUCAAGUCGGAUGUGAAAGCCCGGGGCUUAACCCCGGAACUGCAUCCGAAACUGUUGGGCUUGAGUACGGGAGAGGGAAGCGGAAUUCCCAGUGUAGAGGUGAAAUUCGUUGAUAUUGGGAGGAACACCGGUGGCGAAAGCGGCUUCCUGGCCUAGUACUGACGCUGAGACGCGAAAGCGUGGGUAGCAAACAGGAUUAGAUACCCUGGUAGUCCACGCCGUAAACGAUGAGUACUAGGUGUUGUGGGUGUUGACCCCCGCAGUGCCGAAGCUAACGCAUUAAGUACUCCGCCUGGGGACUACGGUCGCAAGACUAAAACUUAAAGGAAUUGACGGGGGCCCGCACAAGCGGUGGAACAUGUGGUUCAAUUCGACGCAACGCGAAGAACCUUACCUGGCCUUGACAUCCCAGGAACCCUUUGGAAACAAGGGGGUGCCUUCUUUGAAGGAGCCUGGUGACAGGUGCUGCAUGGCUGUCGUCAGCUCGUGUCGUGAGAUGUUGGGUUAAGUCCCGCAACGAGCGCAACCCUUGCCCUUAGUUGCCAGCGGUUCGGCCGGGCACUCUAGGGGGACUGCCGGUGAUAAACCGGAGGAAGGUGGGGACGACGUCAAGUCCUCAUGGCCCUUAUGGCCAGGGCUACACACGUGCUACAAUGGUCGGUACAAUGAGUCGCGAACCCGCGAGGGGGAGCUAAUCUCAAAAAACCGGCCUCAGUUCGGAUUGGAGUCUGCAACCCGACUCCAUGAAGUUGGAAUCGCUAGUAAUCCCGUAUCAGCAUGACGGGGUGAAUACGUUCCCGGGCCUUGUACACACCGCCCGUCACACCACGAAAGCUGGUUGGACCAGAAGUCGUUGGGCUAACCUUACGGAGGCAGGCGCCGACGGUCUGAUCGGUGAUUGGGGUGAAGUCGAAACAAGGUA
rnacentral:rRNA from 1 species